rnacentral:rRNA from 1 species
AUUGAACGCUGGCGGCAUGCCUUACACAUGCAAGUCGAACGGCAGCACGGGUGCUUGCACCUGGUGGCGAGUGGCGAACGGGUGAGUAAUACAUCGGAACGUACCUUAUCGUGGGGGAUAACGCAGCGAAAGCUGUGCUAAUACCGCAUACGCCCUGAGGGGGAAAGCGGGGGAUCGCAAGACCUCGCGCGAUUAGAGCGGCCGAUGCCUGAUUAGCUUGUUGGUGGGGUAAAAGCCCACCAAGGCGACGAUCAGUAGCUGGUCUGAGAGGACGAUGAGCGACGCUGGGAGUGAGACACGGCCCAGACUCCUACGGGAGGCAGCAGUGGGGAAUUUUGGACAAUGGGGGCAACCCUGAUCCAGCAAUGCCGCGUGAGUGAAGAAGGCCUUCGGGUUGUAAAGCUCUUUUGUCAGGGAAGAAACACCGGCUCUAACACAGUCCGGGAAUGACGGUACCUGAAGAAUAAGCACCGGCUAACUACGUGCCAGCAGCCGCAGUAA